rnacentral:rRNA from 1 species
UACAGAGGUCUCAAGCGUUGUUCGGAUUUAUUGGGCGUAAAGGGUGUGUAGGCGGUGCCGUAAGUCGGGUGUGAAAUUUCGGAGCUUAACUCCGAAACUGCAUUCGAUACUGCGGUGCUUGAGGACUGGAGAGGAGACUGGAAUUCAUGGUGUAGCAGUGAAAUGCGUAGAGAUCAUGAGGAAGACCAGUGGCGAAGGCGGGUCUCUGGACAGUUCCUGACACUGAGGCACGAAGGCCAGGGGAGCAAACGGG